GACAGAGGGGGCAAGCGUUGCUCGGAAUUACUGGGCGUAAAGGGCGCGUAGGCGGGAUGGCAAGUCGGUCGUGAAAUCCCUCGGCUCAACUGAGGAUCGUCGAUCGAUACUGCCGUUCUUGAGGAUUGCAGAGGAGACUGGAAUUCCCGGUGUAGCGGUGAAAUGUGUAGAGAUCGGGAGGAACGCCGGUGGCGAAGGCGGGUCUCUGGGCCGAUACUGACGCUGAGGAGCGAAAGCGUGGGGAGCGAACAGG
rnacentral:rRNA from 1 species